rnacentral:lncRNA from 1 species
GCUGCAUCAGCUCUGGAUCCGACUGUUCAUCGCCCACCAUAGUGGGGCCCACCUCCUGCAAGCCUGUGAUCUUACUGCGUCCCCGCGCGCGUGUUGCCCCCGCGCCCGCUUCUUGAACACUUCAGGCCAGGUUCCAAAGUCCCCUGCCAGGCAGAGCCCAGAGCAAACGGCGUCCUCACGGAGGCCUCUCCAGGCCCCAGCCCACCCCUCUCAGAGACGCCUCGACAGCUUCAACGGGGCCCCACUUCCCCUCGCCAAGACAUGCGCUCCAGAGAUUCCUUAAGCGCUGAGGAGGCCGGGGCACGAGGCUCGGAGCUAGCCCUGAAGGCGACAACUAAAAUACCACCCAGGGCGCACUGUGCAUUCCCCCUCCCAGACUCUAAUUCCAGCACAGAGGCGGAUCCUUGCAUUUCUGUGGACCCGCAGGAAAGUCUGUAAAGGAACCGCGCGCUUGGCUGGGUGCCAGGUCUGGAGUGACUGAAUGGAUGGAACCUGGCCUUCCCUCCCCUGAGCUUCCCGCGCAGCUGGACAGACGCGGCGCACGCGCAGGAGGUCACUGGGCAACACCUGGGGCAAAUGAAACAACUUCCCCCGCACCAGCCACCAAUGAGCGGCUGCGAGUUCCCAACCGUGUGUCCACGCCCCUCAUCCGCAGUUAUCAAAAUCUGACAACUCAUCCUUCUUUAUCUGCCUUGUUGUGAUUGGUUUUCUUUUUUCUUUUCUUUUUUUUUUUUUUUUUUGGACAUGGAGUUUCGCUCUUAUUGUCCAGGCCGGAGCGCAAUGGCGCGAUCUCCGCUCACCGCAAUCUCCGCCUCCCAGGUUCAAGCGAUUAUCCUGCCUCAGCCUCCUGAGUAGCUGGGAUUACAGGCCUGCGCCACGACGCCCGGCUAAUUUUGUAUUUUUAGUAGAGACGGCGUUUCUCCAUUUUGGUCAGGCUGGUGGCGAACUCCCGACCUCAGGUGAUCCACCCGCCUUGGCCUCCCAAAGAGCUGGGAUUACAGGCGUGAGCCACCGCAUCCGGCCUGUGAUUGGUUUUCUAGAAAAUAAAGCAAAACAAAAACAGCCUGUAGGUAGCCUUCCCUCCCAUGGGAGGGUAAUAAUCUUCACUUUUUAAGAGGGGCCUUUAUAGGGGAUGCUGCCGUUCCAACACUUUGACAGACGUGGAGAGAGCUAUAAGGGAAGCAGGAAGUUGUAAUCCUAAACGUUCCUUAACUGGUCUAAUUUAUUAUUCUGUAGUUCCUACCCCUGCCCUCUUACCCACUGACCUAACAAGUUAGCCAGAGAGAUAAAACACAUUCAUGCUUAACAAAGGAUGUGUUAAAACUGACGAAAGGGCCGGGCGCGGUGGCUCACGCUGCUAAUCCCAGAACUUUGGGAGGCCGAGGCGGGCGGAUCACGAGGUCAGGAAAUCGAGACCAUCCUGGCUUAACACAGUGAAACCCCGUCUCUACUAAAAGUACAAAAAAUUAGCCGGGCGUGGUGGGGGCCGCCUGUAGUUCCAGCUACUCGGGAGGCUGAGGCAGGAGAAUGGCGUGAACCUGGGAGGCGGAGCUUGCAGUGAGCCGAGAUUGGUUGGGCCACUGCACUCCAGCCUGGGGCAGAGCAAUACUUCGUCUCAAAAAAAAAAAAAAAAAAAAAAACUAACAAAAGAUUGAUGCCCAGGAGCUCCUACAACUCAGUGAGAAAAAGAUGAACAAUGGAAAAAACAGGGGUAACUGACUUGAAUAGGCCCUUCACAAAAGAGGAAAUAGAAAUGACCAAUAAACAUAUAACAUGAUGCCUAGUAUAUCAUUAGAAAUACAGGAAAUACAAAUUAAAGUCAAUUUUACUUUUUUUCAUUUUAACCAAAUUUAUUUAAACCCCAAGACUUUGUAGACACAGUGGCUCACGCCUGUAAUCUAAGCACUUUGGGAGGCCAAGGUGGGAGGAUCGCUUGAGCCCAGAAGGUUGAGGCUGCAGUGAGCCAUGAUUUGGUUUAUUUUUAAGUAAUUUAUCCCUACUUAAAGACAGAUUACCCUACAUGUGAAAGCUAUGUACAAAAAUCAUCCACUGAUUAGAAGGAUUUUUUUAAGUUAUACAAUUGUCC